rnacentral:rRNA from 1 species
GGGGAAAAAGUCGUAACAAGGUCUCCGUAGGUGAACC